AUUGAACGCUGGCGGCAGGCCUAACACAUGCAAGUCGAGCGAGUGGCGGACGGGUGAGUAAUGUAUGGGAAUCUGCCUUAUGGAGGGGGAUAACUACUGGAAACUGUCGCUAAUACCGCAUACCAUCGGAUGAGCCCAGGUGGGAUUAGCUAGUUGGUGGGGUAAUGGCCUACCAAGGCGACGAUCUCUAGCUGGUCUGAGAGGAUGACCAGCCACACGGGGACUGAGACACGGCCCGGACUCAUACGGGAGGCAGCAGGGGGGAAUAUUGCGCAAUGGGGGCAAGCCUGAUGCAGCCAUGCCGCGUGUAUGAAGAAGGCCUUCGGGUUGUAAAGUACUUUCGGUGAGGAGGCGUUAAUCACAGAAGAAGCACCGGCUAACUCCGUGCCAGCAGCCGCGGUAAUAC
rnacentral:rRNA from 1 species